UGGGAAUAUUGGACAAUGGGCGCAAGCCUGAUCCAGCCAUACCGCGUGGGUGAAGAAGGCCUUCGGGUUGUAAAGCCCUUUUGUUGGGAAAGAAAAGCAAUCGAUUAAUACCCGGUUGUUCUGACGGUACCCAAAGAAUAAGCACCGGCUAACUUCGUGCCAGCAGCCGCGGUAAUACGAAGGGUGCAAGCGUUACUCGGAAUUACUGGGCGUAAAGCGUGCGUAGGUGGUUGUUUAAGUCUGUUGUGAAAGCCCUGGGCUCAACCUGGGAAUUGCAGUGGAUACUGGGCAACUAGAGUGUGGUAGAGGGUAGUGGAAUUCCCGGUGUAGCAGUGAAAUGCGUAGAGAUCGGGAGGAACAUCCAUGGCGAAGGCAGCUACCUGGACCAACACUGACACUGAGGCACGAAAGCGUGGGGAGCAAACAGGAUUAGAUACCCUGGUAGUC
rnacentral:rRNA from 1 species